AACAACAAUGCAGAGAUUAGUAACAAUAGCAGACACGCAACUAUCAUUUAUUGGUAUCAGCGAAGGGUGUCAUCCAUGAUUAUUAUUAGCCACCAAUCCCAACCACCAAAAAAACUUUUACCUAGAACAAUCUUUGGUUUGUCAUAUAUAAAAUAAUUCUACGCAACGUGUCUAAAUUUUGUUCUUAAUCCAUUCGACAAUAAAUAAUACCUAGAUUGCAUCAGACCUAAGUAAAAGAAAUUGGAGGGGAGAGGGAGUACAAUCAGCUACAUGAACACCCAAGAAACUUGCAGCCAACUGAAUCUUUGGCUGCUGGAAAGGUGAAUCAACAACCCACACCAAGAUCUGUACCUGCAAAGCCGAUAGUGCGUCAACAACUAAAUCCAGAGUUAGCCACAAUUAUGUCAUAAUAGAAACUAUACAUUUACCCCACAAUCCAAUUAUUGAUGUGAAAUUGAAGAGAAGAAACCCCUAGAUCCUAAACCCACCCUUUCUGAAUAUUUUGUAUAUCUCGUUUGACAGAGUAUGCCAUGCUCACUGUGUUUUUGUAAUCAGUACAUAACUAUAAGCCUAUAGCCAUGUGCAUAUCAAUGAGCAGAAAAAAAAAACAUGGGCACAUGCCUAAGCAUCAAUAUAAAAGAACAUAUAAAAUGCCAUUAGAUAAGAACAGAAGCUCAAGUCUUUUGUUUUAAAAGGAAACAUGAAGCAUCUGGCAUAAGUUUCCAAUUAAAGAUAAAAAUAGAACAUCAAACAUGACACUCCAAUUACUAUUUUUGUAAGAAUGUUGGACCAUGGCAACAGAAUGCACACAUCCAAACAGAGUAUAUAUACUACCAAUUACCAUGUAUAAAGUGGCAACAAUGUGAUAUGAGGAAGAACUAAAUAGUACUCAAUUCCAUUAGAUUAUAUUGCUUACACUAAGCAGAAAAAACAGUUAACUGGGAUCAUGCUUUCUACUCCUCCCGUCUCAUAAUAUAAGACGUCUUAUAUUAUGGAACGGAGGGAGUACUUCACAAUGAUAUAACCUAGGGGGUUUACUGAAAACAAAUCAGUAAUAGUAAAUAGGAACAAAAAUAAUAAAAAAGUAUUUGGUGCAUAAGAGUUAGCUAUUACCUUUAUUGGCCGACAAAAUUAGCAUUUAUAUAUUUUGGCUAUUAAGAUCACCUACUGGAAGAAUUCACCAUGUGUUAUUCUUUCAGCCCAUCCAAUACCAUAGGUAAACAUUUCAACUGAAAAAAGUAGCGUAGGUAAACAUUUCAAUUGAAAAAUAGUCUUUCAGGCCACACUCCCAAUCUGCAAAGACGAAAUCUAACUUGACAUUUCAGAGAGAGAGAGAGGGAGUUGUACCUGUAGCUAGCCUUGUAUGGAUCUGUUGAACAACCCAAAACCCGUCACCGCCAAUCACUUGAAUCCAGGUUUGUGGGCAUUGUUUCAUAGCCGCAUAAUUUCUGAGUAGCAUAAAGGUCAGGUGAGACCUCAGAUCAAAUGAAAUGGAUAAUCUAUUGAACAUAAUCAGAAGUUUGUAUGUUGUUGUUAGGUUAUUUUUCUCCAUAAAAACACAGAAUAGGCAUACAAUGGAUAAACACCGACUGGCCAAAGGCAGAUAUAGAAAAGCAUAUGCACAUAGGAACCAGAUCCAACUUAAUAUGUAUGAUCAUUCACAGUAGGUCCAUAACACAAACCAUUACUUGUCUUGAAUCUCAUAAUACAUCAACCUUUUAUUAGAUAUACUUAUUAUCUAAUAUGCCUAAAAGGCUAAAACAUGCUGAUGGCUAGCAUAUAGUUUGUUCUACAGGAUGGUCUAACCAAAAGACGUUACAGUGUGAUGCAGUCAAUGUAAAUUUUGAUCCAACACCACCAUUUAAACAACAAUGAUUGGCCUCAAUGAAGGUAGUGAAUCCCUCAAACUUAUUGGGGGGUCCUAUUUCAGUAAUCUAACCAUAAAUGGAUCCAAAAAGAAAAGGAAUAUUGGUUCGAAGUAAAAAGAAUAGAGACACAUGCAACUUCUAGUUUGUUGGCUAGCAUUUUAGCAAUCAAGAAAAUGCGAAAAUGUGGAGGAGAAAAUUUUAAAUUCCUCGUGGUAUAAUUCAAAAACAAAGAAUCUCAACAAAAAGUGAAUGGACACAUAGGAUUUUGCGUAUGUGAUCCAUAUGAAAUAAAGCUGAACCAAGAUUGCAUAAUUCUACAUCGGCAACAAUAGGCAUUAACUUAGAGCUCUAAAGGAAGGAUAGAAGCCGAAUAAUUAGAGCAAGGGAUCAAACCUAUCAAACACAAGCAUCUAUUUCUUAUCGUAAUCCACAUAUGCAUCACACAUAAACAAUUUGCAUAAAUAUUACUGCUGGAAACUAAAUCAAGCUAGACAGGUGACAUAUGUAGAUUUCACAGUAGAGGCGUAGAAGUAUUGGAAAUAUGCCCUAAAGGCAAUAAUAAAAGGAUUAUUAUUAUAUUUCCUUGUUCAUGAUAAUUGUCUUUUAUUCAUGCUAUAAUUGUAUUAUCCGGAAAUCGUAAUACACGUGUGAAUACAUAGACCACAACAUGUCCCUAGUGAGCCUCUAGUUGACUAUUCGUUGAUCAACAGAUAGUCAUGGUUUCCUGACUAUGGACAUUGGAUGUCAUUGAUAACGGGAUCACAUCAUUAGGAGAAUGAUGUGAUGGACAAGACCCAAUCCUAAGCAUAGCACAAGAUCGUGUAGUUCGUUUGCUAGAGCUUUCCAAUGUCAAGUAUCUUUUCCUUAGACCAUGAGAUCGUGUAACUCCCGGAUACCGUAGGAGAGCUUUGGGUGUACCAAAGGUCACAACGUAACUGGGUGACUACAAAGGUAUACUACGGGUAUCUCCGAAAGUGUCUGUUGGGUUGACACGGAUCGAGACUAGGAUUUGUCACUCCGUAUGACGGAGAGGUAUCUCUGGGCCCACUCGGUAAUGCAUCAUCAUAAUGAGCUCAAAGUGACCAAGUGUCUGGUCACGGGUCAUGCAUUACGGUACGAGUAAAAUGACUUGCCGGUAACGAGAUUGAACGAGGUAUUGGGAUACCGACGAUCGAAUCUCGGGCAAGUAACGUACCGAUUGACAAAGGGAAUUGUAUACGGAGUUGCUUGAAUCCUCGACAUCGUGGUUCAUCCGAUGAGAUCAUCGAGGAGCAUGUGGGAGCCAACAUGGGUAUCCAGAUCCCGCUGUUGGUUAUUGACCGGAGAACCGUCUCGGUCAUGUCUACGUGUCUCCCGAACCCGUAGGGUCUACACACUUAAGGUUCGGUGACGUUACAGUUGUGAAGAUAUAAGUAUGCAGCAAACCGAAAGUUGUUUGGAGUCCCGAAUGAGAUCUCGGACGUCACGAGGAGUUCCGGAAUGAUCCGGAGGUAAAGAAUUAUAUAUGGAAAGUCGAGUUUCGGCCAUCGGGAAAGUUUCGGGGGUCACCGGUUUUGUACCGGGACCACCAGAAGAGUCCCAGAGGUCCACCGGGUGGGGCCACCUAUCUCGGAGGGGCCCGUGGGCUGAAGUGGGAGGGGAACCAGCCCCUGGUGGGCUGGUGCGCCCCCCUGCCCCCCUCUGCGCCUAGGGUUGGGAACCCUAGGGGAGGGGGCGCCUCCACUUGCCUUAGGGGGCAAGUUUCCCCCCCUUCCCCUUGCUACACCUCUUCCUCCCGCAGACGCUUGGCGAAGCCCUGCCGGAUCCCUGCUGCAUCCUCAUCAACCUCUCCUUCCCCUUUGCUGGAUCAAGAAGGAGGAGACGUCACGCUGACCGUACGUGUGUUGAACGCGGAGGUGCCGUCCGUUCGGCGCUAGAAUCUCCGGUGAUUUGGAUCACGACGAGUACGACUCCCUCAACCCCGUUCUCUUGAACGCUUCCGCUCGCGAUCUACAAGGGUAUGUAGAUGCACCCCUCUUUCUCGUUGCUAGAUGAACUCAUAGAUUGAUCUUGAUGAACGUAGGAAAAAAUUUAUUUUAUGCAACAUUCCCCAACAAGAAGACCAAGAGGAGCAUACCCAUCUUCUCCUCCUUCCCACCAGCAGCUCUCGAGGAUUACAACCCUGCCCCUCGGUUGUGAAAGAGGACUCAAAAAGGUAGAGCUGCAAUUAAGAGGAAUAAAACAUUUUUUGUGGCACCAUAAAGCUGGAGUGAUACUAAUUUCAGAAAUAUCUUUGUCAGCAAUACUACUAUGUAACAAAAACCCACACAACAAUCAUGCUAAUAGAGCACCAACAGAAUCUCUUAUAUCAUUUCAAGGAAUAAUCAUAAAGGACAUAUGAAACCAGUGCUUUAAAUUUACAUGCUUGAUAAAGAAAAUAGUAGAAUAGGUAUAUAUAAACAAACGAUCCAUCCAUGUUCUCAUCAUUUUUCCUGAAAUCCAAAGUGGUACUUGCCAUCUGCUACAGAACUUGCAUAAAGAAAACUACAGAGUAGGUACAUGAUACGAAGCUAGCACACAAGCUUAAUCAAGACAGAUUGAGAAUGGUUAGUACAUGAUAGGGGGUGGAGACAGGUGAGGACCCAGCUGCCGUGUCGAUUGUGUCAAAUGCUUCAUUGAGCUUGAGCCUUAGAUAACAAAAGUCUUGUUUCAUCCUGUUUAAGCGUCCAUAAUUAGUGAUCUGUUGUAACCCAAGGAAAUCUGAACUUAUUAGAAUGCAAUACACAGACUUGUAGAUCCAACCUAAUUAGUAGAGAAAAUAGAAACCCAAACUGAUGGUAGAUAAGAUCAUACUGAUGGUUUUAUCCAAAAUAUGAGAAACACAAAUAUCAGUCCAGCAUACAUUUGACUAUGAAUCCUACUCAUCUAAGAUGCCCUUAAGGUUUCCCCCUCUCUCUUCCGAGCAGACAUGUAAGCAAAGGAGCGGGUUGCCAAUCGCGUUGUAGUGGGCAGCAAACCAAGCAACUGCACUACAACUUACUCAAAUCAGGUCGAUAAAUUGUUGUGGUUUUAUUUGCUAUUACACUGCCACAUGCCAAUACAAUUAACUAUAGACACAGUAACUGAAUUUUUUAGUGUUCAUUGUUUACACAAAUGCCAUCAUAACAAAACAAGCGAUACAAAGUUAAAGAGCGUUUGAGUUAGUUAAUUUCAAUCAAGUAGCAUAUAUACAUGCAUGCAUAUUUCUUGAAUUGAGUAACAUUCUGACAUGUGAUGCUCCCUCAAAGAUUAUGUUGCUUCAAGAUUGCCACUGGCAAGUCGAUCCACUACUUGUAAACAUGAAAGGUGUCAAAGCAUAUCAAUUUGUGCAUAGCAGUCCUUUGUCCUGCAGUUAAUUAGCUACUCACUUGUGUAUUAUUAUAACCCAAUCUUUGUUCAUUUAAGGACACAGCAGGACUCUGCGACAUAUGAUAGAUAUAUAGUCGCACAUCUGCCUGUUAUCACCAGCCAAAGAAAACACAAAUCAUGAACAUCUAACUCACAAUCAAAUACACUUGAAAGUGAACAAAAAAUGGCUUGCUGACCUUGCGGCGAAGAUGCCGGCGGCUAGGAGGUGAUCCAAGAGAAAGGGUGGUCAUCUUGCUUGCAAAUAUCUUCACAAUGACAGGCAA
rnacentral:lncRNA from 1 species